rnacentral:rRNA from 1 species
UAACGGCGAGUGAAGCGGCAAAAGCUCAAAUUUGAAAUCUAGCACCUUCGGUGUUCGAGUUGUAAUUUGAAGAUGGUAACCUUGGGUUUGGCUCUUGUCUAUGUUCCUUGGAACAGGACGUCAUAGAGGGUGAGAAUCCCGUCUGAUGAGAUGCCCAUUCCUAUGUAAGGUGCUAUCGAAGAGUCGAGUUGUUUGGGAAUGCAGCUCUAAGUGGGUGGUAAAUUCCAUCUAAAGCUAAAUAUUGGCGAGAGACCGAUAGCGAACAAGUACAGUGAUGGAAAGAUGAAAAGAACUUUGAAAAGAGAGUGAAAAAGUACGUGAAAUUGUUGAAAGGGAAGGGCAUUAGAUCAGACUUGGUGUUUUACGAUUAUCUUCUCUUCUUGAGUUGUGCACUCGUAUUUCACUGGGCCAGCAUCGAUUCGGAUGGCAAGAUAAUGGCAGUUGAAUGUGGCUUCACUUCGGUGGAGUGUUAUAGCUUCUGCUGAUAUUGCCUGUCUGGAUCGAGGGCUGCGUCUUUUGACUAGGAUGCUGGCGUAAUGAUCUAAUGCCGCCCGUCUUG